CAGCAUCCUUGUCACUGAUGGUCAUUCUUUAGGAAGAAUUGGAAGUGAAACUCCACAGCAAAGUAGUUGAACAUCACACUUGUUUGCAGAAGGCAAGUGAGAGAGACCACUGAAAUACCACAGGUCAAGAGUUACACAUUAUUAGAGCAUCCUUGCCGACAGGAAGAGCAACAGUGCAAAAGGGUGGGCCACAGUAACUCGCACAGUCCAGAUACUUUGCAAUUCUGUCCUGAACCCAUGUUCCUGAGGCUUCCAGGCUCCCAUCUGAAGAGCUGGGAGACCCUCAUCAGAUCUGGAUCUUCCAGGAGUUCCCAGUUCUACAGUGGGCACGCUGACAUCCUUGAGGCUCCUAGAUCCAUGGCAGUCCCCUAGAAAUGCUGUCCCUAAUCUCAAAAGCCUCAAGCUUUGAGUAUCUAACAACUUGCAUUACAGAAACCAGGCUGCACCAUUUCCCAGCUUGCAGUUCCCUGGUUGUUUCCUCAAGGACUCAGUAUUUGCAGGUGAGACACAAUUGCAAUGUGCUUGGGAUGGGAAAGGUGAAUGGGGACAUACAGUCACAGCCACAAAUGAAUCCUAUCUUGCAGAAGAGUGUGUGCCACACCAGGCUAUAUCAAUGGGACAGCCAUAGUAUCCCUCAUAAAGCUGGGCUUGAUAUUUUCCUUAAUGGUACCUUACCUUAUGAAGCCGACAACCUGACAUGUAUAUUUAUUGAAAAAUAUAUAUCAUCACACAACUGCCUCCUUCUCUACAGCAUCCCAAAGUGCAUCCUAUGUUCCUAGAGCAAGAUACAAUCAGGGAAAAAAAAGGAAGGAAUUCACAGUAAAUUAUACUGUAUUGUUAAGAUUAUAGAACUGUGAAGGAGAAAAGAUUUAUUACUCCUUUUCAUGAAAAGACAGAUCUUAUCAGAAAACACUGACAACAACAACGACUCUAUU